AGCUCGAUAAAGCCGUCGCUUUUGUUAUAAAAGGAAAGCAGUGAAAGGCAACUUUAAGACACCAUUCGUCUGGUGGUCUAAGUACGUUUGACGCCAAAUAAGGAAAGAAAUAGCAGAAACACUAUUUCCAGGGUCUAAAGAUAAUUUACUGACAAUGAAAAAGUUUCUUCUGACAACGUUGGCCGUUUUGUUUAUCACUGUCACACUCUUCGGACAAGUGCAAUGUGUUCUCAGGGCUGGAAGAGACGAUAUCCUGGUUCCUAAAAAAGCUGUUCGGAAAGAACUCGAAAAACUGCCUAACCAAGUGAAAUCAGUUUACGCCAGAAAAUCAGGUUACAGACUUGCAAGGCCUCUGGGAUAUGAAAAUGAAGAUGUUAUGAACUGACGAACAUGGAAUGUGAAACUCAUUAAAUUCAACUGGAAGAUGAAAAUGCCAGCUAUUUUAAUCAAAAUUAGUUGUUUGCUCUGUUAUUAGAUCAUAUAUUCUAAUAAAAUUAAUUGUAUCUUGUC